rnacentral:rRNA from 1 species
GAUGAACGCUGGCGGCGUGCCUAAUACACGCAAGUCGAGCGAAUGGACGAGAAGCUUGCUUCUCUGAUGUUAGCGGCGGACGGGUGAGUAACACGUGGAUAACCUACCUAUAAGACUGGGAUAACUUCGGGAAACCGUAGCUAAUACCGGAUAAUAUUUUGAACCGCAUGGUUCAAAAGUGAAAGACGGUCUUGCUGUCACUUAUAGAUGGAUCCGCGCUGCAUUAGCUAGUUGGUAAGGUAACGGCUUACCAAGGCAACGAUGCAUAGACGACCUGAGAGGGUGAUCGGCCACACUGGAACUGAGCCAGCGUCCAGACUCCUACGGGAGGCAGCAGUAGGGAAUCUUCCGCAAUGGGCGAAAGCCUGACGGAGCAACGCCGCGUGAGUGAUGAAGGUCUUCGGAUCGUAAAACUCUGUUAUUAGGGAAGAACAUAUGUGUAAGUAACUGUGCACAUCUUGACGGUACCUAAUCAGAAAGCCACGGCUAACUACGUG